UACAUUUUUUUGGCUAACCACAAACAAUUUGAGAAUGUGCGAAAAUCCUAACACUUUCGUUUGUGGUCUGAAUAUUUUGCAAAAAAGACGAAUUCGAAUUAGACCAAAAUUGAUUAGUUCUUUGCCUCUUUAGGGUCAAUAGGACUUGAGGAAUAUCAAGUUUAAUGUAAGAAACAAAUGUGAAGACCCGCAUCUUCGUGUCUAUUCGCCUGACAUUCAUAAUGGAAAAUCCUUGCAGUUCCGAAUCAUCAUGGAAAAUAUUUGCUUUCCAUUAGUAGUGGAAAUCUUUUGAUUUAAUUACCAACCUGGCUUAAGUCUGUGGACUUCGGUUCGAAAUUUACGGUUGCGGGGCAGAUGCUGGGCGUGGGCAGGGCGAUGAAUAAUGCGCACAGAGACAUUAUAAGUUUGCCGGCAGUCGUUUUCAUUUUGCAUUCUUGCUUACCUCUCCGGUCAGGUGCAAAAUUAAUAUUCGUUAUCAGUUUUGUAAGCUGGGCUAGUCGAGCUAGUCGAGCGGGCGUGCAUGUGACAAAUAAUGCCAACUGAUUUACGGUGUGCGAGCCCCACAAAACACACAAAAUACCGUCAAAAUGCCCGGCAGGCUUAGCAUGGAGCCACUGACAACUGCAGCUGCAGCCAAUACCCUGCCGGUGGCCCAGCCGACCGCCCGGCAGGACACCCAGUGCCCAAUGCGAUUACCGCAAGGACCAAAUUCAAUUUAUGUGAGCGGACCACCGAACUGAGCAAGGAAAAUGGCCAGGAUAUAUUUUCAGAAGCAGAAUCAGCAGCAUGAUUAGUUAAUUAAAACGUCGGAUUUUGGUCAAAAUGAA
rnacentral:sRNA from 1 species